AGAGUUUGAUCCUAGCUCAGAGUGAACGCUAGCGGUGCACUUAACACAUGCAAGUCGAGCGACCACUACCAUUGAUCUUGAAGUGCUUGCACGGAUGGUGAAGUGGAAUCUAGUGGGAGCGGCGAACGGGUGAGUAAUACGUUGGUACCUGCCCCCAAGUCAGGGAUAGCCCAUCGAAAGAUGGAUUAAUACCGGAUGUACUGGAAACAGUAAAGAUUUAUCGCUUGGGGAGGGGCCUGCGGCCUAUCAGUUUGUUGGUAAGGUAAUGGCUUACCAAGGCAAUGACGGGUAGCUGGUCUGAGAGGACGAUCAGCCGCAAUGGGACUGAGACACGGCCCAUACUCCUACGGGAGGCAGCAGUGAGGAAUCUUCCGCAAUGGGCGAAAGCCUGACGGAGUGACACCGCGUGAAGGAUGAAUGUUGAAAGAUUGUAAACUUCUUUUCUGGGGGAGCAUAAUGAGAGUACUUCAGGAAUAAGGGACGGCUAACUACGUGCCAGCAGCCGCGGUAAUACGUAGGUCCCAAGCGUUACUCGGAAUCACUGGGCGUAAAGCGUGCGUAGGCGGAUAGAUAAGUUGGAUAUGAAAGACCGGAGCUUAACUCUGUGUUUGUGUCCAAAACUGUUUAUCUAGAGUCAGGGAGAGGUAAGCGGAAUUCUAAGUGUAGGGGUGCAAUCCGUAGAUACUUAGAGGAACACCAAAAGCGAAGGCAGCUUACUGGAACUGUACUGACGCUGAGGCACGAAAGCGUGGGGAGCGAAAAGGAUUAGAUACCCUUGUAGUCCACGCCCUAAACGAUGGUAACUAAGUGUUGAUCUUUAUUGGUCAGUGCUGUAGCUAACGCGUUAAGUUACCCGCCUGAGUAGUACGGUCGCAAGAUUAAAACUCAAAGGAAUAGACGGGGACUCACACAAGCAGUGGAUCAUGUUGUUUAAUUCGACAGUAAACGAGGAACCUUACCUAGGUUUGACAUCUCGAGAACCUUUAGGAAACUAAAGGGUGCCCGUAAGGGAACUCGAAGACAGGUGCUGCAUGGUUGUCGUCAGCUCGUGCCUUGAGGUGUUCGGUUAGGUCCGUUAACGAGCGUAACCCAUAUCAUUAGUUACUAUGUCUAAUGAGACUGCCUUGGUUAACAAGGAGGAAGGUAUGGACGACGUCAAAUCUGCAUGGCUUUUACACCUAGGGCUACAAACAUGAUACAAUGGCUAGUACAAAGAGCAACAAACCCGCGAGGGGGAGUAAAUCUCAAAAAACUAGUCUCAGUCCGGAUUGAAGUCUGAAACUCGACUUCAUGAAGUUGGAAUUGCUAGUAAUCGUGAAUCAGAUAUGUCACGGUGAAUAUGUUCCUGGGUCUUGUACUCACCGCCCGCCAUGGCAUGGGAGGUGGUAAUGCCGGAAAUCCCUCAAGUAAUAUGAGGGCUUAUGGUAGGACCACUGACUGGGCUAAAGUCGUAACAAGGUA
rnacentral:rRNA from 1 species